rfam:Melampsora larici-populina 98AG31 unplaced genomic scaffold MELLAscaffold_22, whole genome shotgun sequence.
GCCCGGCUAGCUCAGUUGGUAGAGCAUUCGACUCUUACAAGGGUUCUUCAUGGCAUCGAAUUGUCGUGGGUUCGAGCCCCACGUUGGGCG